CAGAGGCCCCAAGCAUUACCCGGAAUCACUGGGCGUAAAGCGUAUGUAGGUGGUCAUAUUAGUCUCCCGUUAAAUACCCUGGCUCAACCGGGGAAGUGCGAGAGAAACGGUAUGACUAGAGGGCGUGAGAGGUACAUGGAACUCAUGGUGUAGGGGUGAAAUCCGUUGAUAUCAUGGGGAACACCGAAAGCGAAGGCAAUGUACUGGCGCGUUCCUGACACUGAAAUACGAAAGCGUGGGUAGCGAACGGGAUUAGAUACCCCGGUAGUCCACGCCCUAAACUAUGUCAACUGGCUUUUCGGAGUAUCGACCCUCUGGGAGGCGAAGCUAACGCGUUAAGUUGACCGCCUGGGUAGUACGGCCGCAAGGCUA
rnacentral:rRNA from 1 species